rnacentral:tRNA from 1 species
GGGAUUGUGGCUCAGUGGUAGAGCACUCGCCUAGCAUGCAUGAGGCCCUGGGUUCGAACUUCAGCACCA